rnacentral:rRNA from 1 species
AGUGAACGCUGGCGGUAGGCCUAACACAUGCAAGUCGAACGGCAGCACAGUAAGAGCUUGCUCUUACGGGUGGCGAGUGGCGGACGGGUGAGGAAUACAUCGGAAUCUACUUUUUCGUGGGGGAUAACGUAGGGAAACUUACGCUAAUACCGCAUACGACCUACGGGUGAAGGCAGGGGAUCUUCGGACCUUGCGCGAUUGAAUGAGCCGAUGUCGGAUUAGCUAGUUGGCGGGGUAAAGGCCCACCAAGGCGACGAUCCGUAGCUGGUCUGAGAGGAUGAUCAGCCACACUGGAACUGAGACACGGUCCAGACUCCUACGGGAGGCAGCAGUGGGGAAUAUUGGACAAUGGGCGCAAGCCUGAUCCAUCCAUACCGCGUGGGUGAAGAAGGCCUUCGGGUUGUAAAGCCCUUUUGUUGGGAAAGAAAAGCAGCAGGUUAAUACCCCGCUGUUCUGACGGUACCCAAAGAAUAAGCACCGGCUAACUUCGUG